rnacentral:rRNA from 1 species
UGGGGAAUAUUGGGGCAAUGGGGGGCGCAAGCCUGACCCAGCAACGCCGCGUGAAGGAAGAAGGCUUUCGGGUUGUAAACUUCUUUUGUCAGGGACGAAUAAAUGACGGUACUUGACGAAUAAGCCACGGCUAACUACGUGCCAGCAGCCGCGGUAAUACGUAGGUGGCAAGCGUUAUCCGGAUUUACUGGGUGUAAAGGGCGUGUAGGCGGGACUGCAAGUCAGGCGUGAAAACCAGAGGCUUAACCUCUGGCCUGCGUUUGAAACUGUAGGCCUUGAGUGAUGGAGAGGCAGGCGGAAUUCCCGGUGUAGCGGUGGAAUGCGUAGAUAUCGGGAGGAACACCAGUGGCGAAGGCGGCCUGCUGGACAUUAACUGACGCUGAGGAGCGAAAGCGUGGGGAGCAAACAGGAUUAGAUACCCUGGUAGU